rnacentral:tRNA from 1 species
UCCCUGGUGGCUUAGCAGUUAAGGAUGUGGUAUUGUCACUGCUGUGGCUCAGGUUCAAUCCCUGGCCUGGGAA